AGAGUUUGAUCAUGGCUCAGAAUCAACGCUGGCGGCGCGCUUAACACAUGCAAGUCGAACGAGAAAGCGGGGGUAACCUCGUGAGUAAAGUGGCGUCCGGGUGAGUAACACGUGGAUCAUCUACCCCGAAGUGGGGAAUAACGCUGGGAAACCGGCGCUAAUACCGCAUAAUCCCGAGAGGGCAAAGGAGCAAUCCGCUUUGGGAGGAGUCCGCGGCCGAUUAGCUUGUUGGUAGGUUAAUGGCCUACCAAGGCUUUGAUCGGUAGCCGGCCUGAGAGGGCACACGGCCACACUGGCACUGAAACACGGGCCAGACUCCUACGGGAGGCAGCAGUGGGGAAUCUUGCACAAUGGGGGAAACCCUGAUGCAGCGACGCCGCGUGAGCGAUGAAGCCCUUCGGGGUGUAAAGCUCUUUCGGCAGGGACGAUUAUGACGGUACCUGCAGAAGCAGCUGCGGCUAACUACGUGCCAGCAGCCGCGGUAAUACGUAGGCAGCAAGCGUUGUUCGGAGUUACUGGGCGUAAAGGGUGUGUAGGUGGCCUGUUAAGUUCCGUGUGAAAUCUCCCGGCUCAACCGGGAGGGUGCGCGGAAAACUGGCGGGCUAGAGUGCGGGAUGGGAGAGUAGAAUUCCUGGUGUAGCGGUGAAAUGCGUAGAUAUCAGGAGGAAUACCUGUGGUGUAGACGGCUCUCUGGACCGCAACUGACACUGAGACACGAAAGCGUGGGUAGCAAACAGGAUUAGAUACCCUAGUAGUCC
rnacentral:rRNA from 1 species